CCGUCCCCCCCGUGCCCAUGGGCCGGGGAGCGCCCCCCAAGGCUGCGUCUCCCGCUAUUCGGGGUCGUGCCGCACACGGAGAGGAUCCUAGAGGCCAUGGGGGUUGAGGGGGCGGCCGCCCUUCUUUGGAGGGAGGGGGACACCCACUCUGCCUGCCGUACUGC
rnacentral:SRP_RNA from 13 species